CAAAAAAUCUUCUUUUUUNGGAGAUGAGUUCUGAGAAGCGGGGAGUAUAUCCCAAGGUGUCCUAUAUAAGGGCACAAUCCCUUAAAAUGUAAAAGGCUCCCCGGAAAAAAGUAUUAUUUUGUUUUCUAUCCGUCUGUGUGGGAGAGGAAAAGGUUCUCCCAAGGUUCUUAUCCGGUUAGGGGUGUGAAAAACCUCACCCCCCACCACGGGGCCCUGGAAAUACGGCGCCCCCAUUCUUUCGGAGAGGCAGGCAAUUAGGAAUUUUUGGGCAUUGGCCGGAAAACCCUGACGACAUGGAUCUUGCCGGGAGGGACGAAUUUCCUUUGGAAUUUAAAACCCCUUUUAGGUGGGGAGCAGGGCCGGAUAGUUCCCAACUGAAUUAAGCCUCCUGUCUAACUGGCGUGCCAGAAAGCUUCGGGUGAUACGUAGGGGUGCGGAACGUUGUUCGGAAAUUAACUGGGCGUUAAAGCGAGUGUAAGGCUGUUAAAAUAAGUUUUUUUGUUAAAAUCCCAACAGGCCUAACUUGUGGAAAAGGCAAAGAAAUACUAUUUAGCUAAGAGGGGGAGUAGGGAAAAGCUGGAACCGUGUGGGUGGAAGCGGUUUAUAUGUGUUUGAUAUCACACUGGAACCACCGGAGGGCGAAGGGCGGCUUUUUAGGCUCCUUCCUUGACGCUAAGACUCGAAAGCCAGGGUAGCAAAACGGAUUAGAUACCCGUGUAGUCCUGGCUGUAAAUGAUGUAUGCUGGAUGUUAGCUUCUUUUUUGUAUUUAUACUUAAAAGGAGUUAGUGUCGAAGCUAACGCGUUAAGCAUACCGCCUUAGGAGUACGGUCGCAAGGCUGAAACUGAAAGGAAUUGGCGGGGACCCGCACAAGCGGUGGAGCACGUGGUUUAAUCCGUAGAUACUCGUAUAAUCUUAUCAGGGUUUGAAUGUAACUGCAGUCUCUAAGAAACUAGGGGCGCCUUCGAGGGAGUUACACAGGUAUUGCAUGGCCGUCGUCAGCUCGUGUCGUGAGAUGUACCGUUAAGUCGGGUAACGAGCGCAACCCCUAUCUUAUAUUAUAAGUGUUUUAGGAAACUGCCGUGGUAAAACACGGAGGAAGGUGGGGAUGACGCCUGGUCGUCAUGGUCUUUAUGCCAUGGGCUACACACGCGCUACAAUGGUUAAUACAGAGGGUUGCCAAACCGUAAGGUGGAGCUAAUCCUUAAAGUUAACCUCAGUUCAGAUUGAGGGCUGAAAUCCGUCCUCAUGAAGUCGGAAUCGGUAGUAAUCGCAGGUCAGGAAUACUGCGGUGAAUACGU
rnacentral:rRNA from 1 species